GGGGGUGUAGCUCAGUGGGAGAGCGCCUGCCUUGCACGCAGGAGGUCAUCGGUUCGAACCCGUUCACCUCCACCA
rnacentral:tRNA from 1 species